CCUACGGGCGGCUGCAGUGGGGAAUAUUGGACAAUGGGGGCAACCCUGAUCCAGCCAUGCCGCGUGUGUGAAGAAGGCCCUCGGGUUGUAAAGCACUUUCAGUGAGGAAGAACGCCUGGUGGUUAAUACCCAUCAGGAAAGACAUCACUCACAGAAGAAGCACCGGCUACACUCCGUGCCAGCAGCCGCGGUAAUACGGAGGGUGCGAGCGUUAAUCGGAAUUACUGGGCGUAAAGCGCGCGUAGGUGGCUUGAUAAGCCGGUUGUGAAAGCCCGGGGCUCAACCUGGGAACGGCAUCCGGAACUGUCAAGCUAGAGUGCAGGAGAGGAAGGUAGAAUUCCCGGUGUAGCGGUGAAAUGCGUAGAGAUCGGGAGGAAUACCAGUGGCGAAGGCGGCCUUCUGGACUGACACUGACACUGAGGUGCGAAAGCGUGGGUAGCAAACAGGAUUAGAUACCCUAGUAGUC
rnacentral:rRNA from 1 species